UUGAUUAUGAAUUUCAAGAAUUAUAUGUUUGCAUAAUUAGAUUAUUAAUUUCAGAUUAUAUAAAUGCAUUGAACUAUUAAUUUUUAAUUAUUUAAAGAAUGAAUUUUAAGGUUUUUAAUGAUUUAAAUCAUGGUAGGAUGUUUAGGAAUUAUUAAAUUUAUUGUUUUUAUGAUUUCAAACAUGUUAAUUAUGUUUCGGAGUAGUUUGAAAGUAGUUAUAUUGCUGGAAAUUUAAAGUAUGAUGCUUUGAAGAGUUUUCAACGAAUUUCAAUAAUUAAUAUAAUAAUUAUGAUGCUAGAAAUCAAAUAUUCAAGUUUCGAUAUUGGAAAAUGUUCUAAUUAUGUUUAUGAAGGGUUUGAAGCUCCCUAAUGUUGCUGAAAAUUCAAUAUGAAUUGAUAUGAGUCUAUAUUGGUUGUUGUUAGGUGGAGAAUUCUCCGUAGGCGACUUUUGAAUUCUUAAAGUGGUCUCGCAUUUUGUUUACACAAGUCUCUAAGGAUCAAUAAGCGUUGCCCAUCUACAGGUUUGAAGAUGAUGCAUCAUUGGGAUCGGGAUUAGAGAGCUUGUAGUUCAUUUGAUUUUCUAAGUUGGAUUUGGUUUGUUUAAGUGGACUCUAAAACUUAUUGAAUUAGUAACAUUAACUUUGUUUUU